rnacentral:lncRNA from 1 species
CAGCCCUUUUAAUCGGAUGGAAGGCUUGGGUUAAAUUGCAUCCUGUGCAUGAAUAUUUUUAAAUUUUUUAUUUAUUUUAAUUAAAUUGUAAACUAAAUUAUUAUGUUUAUAAUUUAUUUUAUGUUGAAAUCUAUUAUUGUGGUAGCUAUUUUUCUAUAAAUCAAAUUAUAUGAAUUUGAUGGCGUACCUAUCAAAAUCCUGUAACUU